rnacentral:rRNA from 1 species
UACGGAGGAUGCGAGCGUUAUCCGGAUUUAUUGGGUUUAAAGGGCGCGUAGGCGGGAUGCCAAGUCAGCGGUAAAAAUGCGGUGCUCAACGCCGUCGAGCCGUUGAAACUGGCGUUCUUGAGUGGGCGAGAAGUAUGCGGAAUGCGUGGUGUAGCGGUGAAAUGCAUAGAUAUCACGCAGAACUCCGAUUGCGAAGGCAGCAUACCGGCGCCCUACUGACGCUGAGGCACGAAAGCGUGGGUAUCAAACAGG